GACGAACGCUGGCGGCGUGCUUAACACAUGCAAGUCGAACGGAAAGGCCCUGCUUUUGUGGGGUGCUCGAGUGGCGAACGGGUGAGUAACACGUGAGUAACCUGCCCUUGACUUUGGGAUAACUUCAGGAAACUGGGGCUAAUACCGGAUAGGAGCUCCUGCUGCAUGGUGGGGGUUGGAAAGUUUCGGCGGUUGGGGAUGGACUCGCGGCUUAUCAGCUUGUUGGUGGGGUAGUGACGUACCAAGGCUUCGACGGGUAGCCGGCCUGAGAGGGUGACAGGCCACACUGGAACUGGGACAGGGUCCGGACUGCUACGGGAGGCAGCGGUAGGGACUCGUCCGAAAUGGGCGAAAGCCUGACGGAGCAACGCCGCGUGAGUGAUGAAGGUCGUCGGAGCGGAAAACUCGGUUAUGAGGGAAGAACAUAUGUGUAAGUAACUGUGCACAUCUUGACGGUACCUAAUCAGAAAGCCACGGCUAACUACGUG
rnacentral:rRNA from 1 species